GACGAACGCUGGCGGCGUGCUUAACACAUGCAAGUCGAACGGAAAGGCCCUGCUUUUGUGGGGUGCUCGAGUGGCGAACGGGUGAGUAACACGUGAGUAACCUGCCCUUGACUUUGGGAUAACUUCAGGAAACUGGGGCUAAUACCGGAUAGGAGCUCCUGUGCAUGGUGGGGGGUGGAAAGGUUCGGCGGGUGGGGAUGGACUUGCGGCUUAUCAGCUUGUUGGUGGGGUAGUGGCUUACCAAGGCUUUGACGGGUAGCCGGCCUGAGAAGGUGACCGGGCACAUUAGGACUGAGAUACGGCCCAGACUCCUACGGGAGGCAGCAGUGGGGAAUAUUGCACAAUGGGCGGAAGCCUAAUGCAGCAACGCCGCGUGCGGGAUGACGGCCUUCGGGUUGUAAACCGCUUUCGCCUGUGACGAGGCGUGAGUGACGGUAAUGGGUAAAGAAGCACCGGCUAACUACGUG
rnacentral:rRNA from 1 species